GAUCACUGUCUUCUUUCCUAAGUUCCUAGCACCCAUUAAAAACUCCUGGGAUUCUAUUAAGUCAUUAAGAAGAUGAAGGGAAAAAAGUACUAAUGGUACUCUUGCCGGAAACUACAAAAUCAAAAUAGCCCAAAAGGUGGAAGUGCCAACUGGCCAUGCUAACCAUCCAAGGAGAUAAAAGACAACCCUGGCAGAGGUUUGACAGACCUCAGAUUUCAAGGACCUGCAAUUAUGCCAAGCAUGAAAUAAUUGCCUGGCAUGCCUUGGACUGCACCACAGGUACAGAGAAUUGGUUAAACUGUUACUGAGUCCUACUCAUGGAUUUAGCUCUUUGAAAAGCAAAACACGAUUUUUUAUUCCAAAGAAAAACAGAUUAUUUGGUUGGAAUCAUUCUCGCAGCUGUUCAUCCUUUUUUAUUAAUGCUUCUGUGGGCCUUUUUAUAUAAAAGGACAUUCUCUAUUUCUGCCAAGUCUGAAAAUGUUAUCCAACUCUUUCUCAUAAAGACCACAGUUUGCAAACUUAGCUUACAAAUUCAAAGAACUAUGUAAUUACCAACCACAGUUUUAAUUCAGAGCAUCUGACAUUAUAAGGCACACAAGUGAAAGUAAUGGUAUUGAACACCGUAAAUGUCUUAAGAACAAAUACACCAAUAAAAAGCAUUACUCAAGACAAUGUGCACAGAACGAAAACUCGUAGAGAAUUUAUAUGCAUGCUCCAAGUAUCUAUUCAAGAUUUGCUUUUACAAUCACUUUAAAUGAAUAAUAAACAUGCUAUGUUACUAAAAAUAAACCCAUUGUACAACAGUAAGGACAGAAGCUGGUAUGGUGCACGCCACUUGCAGGGCAGCUGCUUUGUAUUAUUAAAAUUUUACCUUUUGCAACUUAGGCAAAAGCAAUCUAGACUUUUUAAAAUGCUAAAUUCAUCUGGACUACUUUAACAAUUUUCCCUCAUAACUCAAAAAUAUAACUUUUUAGACUCGAAAACAACUAUUUUAAUUGCCAUAUUGCAACGUCAGUGUGUUCAAAUAUAUGAAAUGGGUAUGGUCAAAACUUGGUAAACUUCAUAUACUAUCUCUUUUCUGCUUAAUAAACUUCAUACACUAUCUCUUUUCUGACUUUUGUUUCAAGAAGUCCUAAAGAGGAAAAGAGACACAAUCUUCAAAAUAUAAACCACAUUUAUCCUUCUGCAUUUUAUAUAGAGAAGAAAGCCACGCCUAGAGAAAUCUGUACAUAAAAUACCACAUAAUUAUGUGAACUAUGACAGCUGAACAUAAACCUUGGAAUGAUUCUAUUUUUAAAAAUCUUAUUGAAAUCAGUAUGUCAUGCAUCUGUAACGUAAUAUUGCACAUCAAUUAUACUUUGGUUUCAAAAAUCCAAAAAAAUCAUUUUAUUGGACUCAUUACAUGUUGGUCCCAGCAAACAUACAUAAAUGGAACACCACUUCUUGCUCCCAAAUGGAAGGAAUGAGCACGGAAGCCAAGAUGUUGGGAGUCCUGGAUGCCUAGAUGCCAGGAAGUUUCCAUAUGUCAUUUAAUUCAAGUCUCACUCUGGAUUGUUUGUCCUGAUGCCUUUAUUCUUUCUCUCUCCAUGAGUCUUCUCUACUUCUGUUGUGUCUUCCCCUAAAAUUAUGCAUCUCUCUCUCCCUUUCCUCUCUCUUUUCCUUCUCCCUAAAACAUCCUAAUUUCCUCCCUAUAUAUCCUCCAGAAUAGAAUGAGGCACUGGAUGGUUAUUGGUUGAAACAGAGGGUCUGUAUACAAAAUUAAAGAUCAACCCAGAGUGCACCACCACCCCAGAGCCCACUCCUGGCUUCAACAUGCCUGCUGCAUCACAGCCCACCAAGGUCAAUACCUGGGCCCAUGGAGGAGCUUCUUUGCCAUCCCUGCUACAGGGUCAAAGGACACAAUGGGGUACUAUUCAGCCAUAAAAAAAUCAUGAAAUACUGCCAUUUGCAGCAACAAGAAUGGACCUAGAUAUUGUCACACUAAGUAAGUCAGAGAGAAAAAGACCAAAACCCUAUGAUGUCAUUUAUAUGUGGAAUCUAAAUGAACUUACAAAACAGAAAGAGACUCACAGACAUAGAAAACAAACUUAAGGUUUUGAAAGGGGAAAGGGGGCAUGAGUUAGGAAUUUGGGAUUAACAGAGACACACUACUAAUAUAUAAAAUUGAUAAAGUCCUACUGUAUAGCACAGGGAACUAUAUUCAAUAUCCUGCAGUAACCAUGAUGGAAAAGAAGAUAGGUAGAUGAGAGAUAGAUAGAUAGCUCUGAAUUACUUUGCUAUACACCAAAAAUUAAUACAAUGUUGUAAAUCAACUAUACUCCAAUUACAAUUUUUAAAAUAUAAAACAAAAAUUGUUUUGAUAUGCCAAUUAUAAAUUCAUCUUUAACAAAUGACUAAGUUGAUUUCCUUUGGAAUCUCUAAUAGAAAAUGUCUAAUAAACCUCGUUCAAGCUUAGUGAAUGUACUGGAAGUAUCCUUAAAAGUCAAAAAUAAAUAAAUAAGUUCAUCACCUUAGAAUAUGCUGAAUAUCAUAAUUAAAACAUCCUUGCAGUUAUUCUGAAUAUUUCAAAACCAACAGGUCAAUCAGAGAAGCAACAUUCACGUGAAGCCCUCUCCAUUGUCAUCCAUGGGUCGGUUGAAAUGGGAACGUCUCACUAGUUUUUAGUCCAGCCUGAGGAAAAUACACAUUGCUAUAACCUGAGGAUUUUCCAUAUGUCAGUUUGGUGUUGCUUAAAAAUUUGGCUCUGUGGAAAAAGAAAUUACGAUGAGAAUGAGCCUGGCUACAUUCUGUAUUAUUAACCAUUUUUACCAUUAUUAUUUCAGGGAAAAAAAAAACUAAUAAUAAGGUGAUGAUUUGCUCUCAUAUAUAAGGAUUUCCAGAACUGAUUUCCUAUCUCACCAUCCACAUCUGAAUUUACCCUGAGCAUGGCCUUAAUUCAAAAAGAUGAACAAGUUGUCUCCUAUGAAUCAGGGAAAAUUCAGAUUACGUUGUUUUCCCUCCUUCACCAUGCCUGGAAAGCCUUUUUCUACCAUGUUAGCAUUCUUUAGAGGUCACAACUAUUCCAGAAUAUUGCUAUUGCUCUUGCUCUGGGCCAUAAUCACUAGGUAUCAGGAGUGAGCACCACACACUCCCUGUUCUCAUGGAACUUUAAGUCUGGUGGAGAAAGCAGACCUUAAUCAAGUGGCCCAUGAACAUAUAAUUGUGGAGAUUUAAUACAGCUGAGGAAGCACAGGAAGAAGGCUUUCUGAUGAAGUAGGACUUGAAUUGAAAAGAAAGAGGAAAACCAGAAAAGUUUGGAAAAUGGACAAUACCAAACAUAGAGGAGUUUUCCACUUAGAGAUUACUCACGGCCUUAGCAAGAGUUUUGUUGGAGGGUCUAAAAUGGAAGCCAGGCAGGAGUGUUGGAAGAGGGAGUUGGUGGGAGGUUAAGAAAUAGAGACAGAAAGCAAAAACAAAGUACAAGAACACAAAAUAGCACUUUCAAAAAGCUUCAUAGUGAAGAAGAAGAAAGGGAAUGUUAGCUGGCAGGAUGGGGAAGAGAACAAAAAUGUAAACAUAAUUUAGCUUUCUGUUAUCUCAGCUGCCCACCCCAUCUCUGCCUACAAUGAAAAUAGCACAUCUCCAAGAUAGUUGCCCAGAGUGAAUGAUGCUUGGACGGAAACCAAAAUUACACUCAACAUGAGACUAACCACUUUGUAAAAUUUAAUAUAUGCAGACCAAUAAAAGUUUUAUUAUUAAAUAUCCUUUGGACAAGACAGGGGUAUUAUGGAAUAGAAUGCCUCUUUCAUUCAGAUAAAAUGGAAUUUUACCGGUUUCAAUUAAAAAUAAUUUUUCAUAGUACUUCUCAGACACACCAGAGUAGCACUGUCUAACUAGGCUAAACAUAUAUUGUUUCAAAUUUACUAUCUCAAUAUUCUGUUAUGUGAACAAAUCUGUGUGACAAGGAAGUGUACUCGUAUUCUACUUUAGUGGAUAACAUACACCCCUAGCAUUUCACUGGCAGGUUAAAUUAAAUAUUUAGAGAGAAAAUUAAUUCUUUCAAGCCACUAGCAGAUAGUUCCUGCUCCGGGAGUCAGUUGCUGCUGCUGAAGUGAAUAAAACAAGCAUGUGCAACACUAUAAAAAAUUAAAAGAUAGGGAGUUCCCGUCGUGGCGCAGUGGUUAACGAAUCCGACUAGGAACCAUGAGGUUUCGGGUUCGUGUUAAGUACAUUAAUUCACGGAAAUUAAUCCAAGUAUCUGUGGUAUAUAUUUUCUCUGCUACUGUUUCUCCUGACAGCCUCCUCUCUGGUUAAGACAUAUUUUUCUACAAAACAAUUAGGAAAUAGCAUAUCUAAUAAACUCCCAGGCAGUUCCCCCAUUGCACAGAUAUGGAAACCACAUUCUAAGAAAAUAAAAAGGAAACCAAUCUGCCUGUCCGGUUGUGUGGUAUGUGAGAUCCACUGACUAGAACCAAAUUCAAAGCUAUUUAAGUUUGCCAGUUAGUGUUUUCCCCAAAAACUGAGCAGAAGAGAAAUGUCAGGGUAGUUUUGGAAGCACCAAAUUACAGGACUCGAACAAGCUGCUUAAUCAGGCAGACAGCUAGAAAAUCCUGUUUGCAAAAUAGCUCCCACUAGCUUCUUUUAUGUCCGAAGUUAAGACCAAAUAUUGGCUGGAAAAUGCACUCUUGUCAGCGGUAAGGAAGAGGAAUGGUGUUUCUAGCCCUUUCAGAAGCACCAUCGCCUGGAUGAAUGGACCGCCGGGAGCACAGUGUCUCACGCGCAGAACUCACCCCGGGUACAGUCACAGUCUCCCAGCCCUAAGGGACAAUCCUGUUGAGCUGCCCGGGUAGGGGGGUAUCCAUACCAACCGAUCCCCAGGUAGGCAGCCCAGGGCUGCGCAGUGGCCGGCCCACCCCUCCAGGCGCAAAGGUCAGUAAGAGAGCCAGGCUAGAGGCACCAAGGAGGCAAGGGGAGAGCUCCUGCACCCUCCCAGUCUCCGAGUACUGGGACAUAUCUGAGCGGUCUCUGCCUCCUGCAGAAGAGAGCCUUGGGAGGGGGAAGGGCAGAAGGUGGCUGGGCCCCUUCCUCACCACCCCCAUUCUCCCCCGCGCGGCUC
ensembl:lncRNA